rnacentral:rRNA from 1 species
UUGGAGGGCAAGUCUGGUGCCAGCAGCCGCGGUAAUUCCAGCUCCAAUAGCGUAUAUUAAAGUUGUUGCAGUUAAAAAGCUCGUAGUUGAAUUUCGGGGUUCUACCGUUGGUCGGGCUAACCAGUCUGUACUAGCGUGUAGAAUUCUUACCUUCUGGGGAACCAUCAUGUUAUUAAUUUAGCGUGGUAGGAAACCAGGACCUUUACCUUGAAAAAAUUAGAGUGUUCAAAGCAGGCUUACGUCUGAAUACAUUAGCAUGGAAUAAUAAAAUAGGACGGUGGUCCUGUUUUG